rnacentral:rRNA from 1 species
GACGAACGCUGGCGGCGUGCUUAACACAUGCAAGUCGAACGGAAAGGCCCUGCUUUUGUGGGGUGCUCGAGUGGCGAACGGGUGAGUAACACGUGAGCAACCUGCCCUUGACUUUGGGAUAACUUCAGGAAACUGGGGCUAAUACCGGAUAGGAGCUCCUGCUGCAUGGUGGGGGUUGGAAAGUUUCGGCGGUUGGGGCUGAACUCGCGGCUUAUCAGCUUGUUGGUGGGGUAGUGGCUUACCAAGGCUUUGACGGGUCGCCGGCCUGAGUGGGUGACCGGCCACAUUGGGACUGAGAUACGGCCCAGACUCCUACGGGAGGCAGCAGUGGGGAAUAUUGCACAAUGGGCGGAGGCCUGAUGCAGCAACGCCGCGUGCGGGAUGGCGGCCUUCGGGUUGUAAACCGCUUUCGCCUGUGACGAAGCGUGAGUGACGGUAAUGGGUAAAGAAGCACCGGCUAACUACGUG